AGAGCGAACGCUGGCGGCAGGCUUAACACAUGCAAGUCGAACGGAUCCUUCGGGAUUAGUGGCGGACGGGUGAGUAACACGUGGGAACGUGCCUUUAGGUUCGGAACAACACAGGGAAACUUGUGCUAAUACCGGAUGUGCCCUUCGGGGGAAAGAUUUAUCGCCUUUAGAGCGGCCCGCGUCUGAUUAGCUUGUUGGUGAGGUAAAGGCUCACCAAGGCUACGAUCAGUAGCUGGUCUGAGAGGAUGGCCAGCCACAUUGGGACUGAGACACGGCCCAAACUCCUACGGGAGGCAGCAGUGGGGAAUCUUGCGCAAUGGGGGAAACCCUGACGCAGCCAUGCCGCGUGGAUGAUGAAGGUCUUAGGAUUGUAAAAUCCUUUCAGCGGGGACGAUAAUGACGGUACCGCAGAAGAAGCCCCGGCUAACUUCGUGCCAGCAGCCGC
rnacentral:rRNA from 1 species